GGGGGUGAACUGGUUUCGACGGGGGUAGUGAAGCAGCUUGGGGCAUGCCGAGGCGUCAAUCCUCGUAAAUCUUUGGCAAUCGCAAACUUAACUGCGAACGACGAAAACUACGCUCUGGCGGCUUAAUCCCGCCGGACCUUGCACCGGGCGGCGCUCAGCCCGGGUGAAGCUGGCAACAGUGUAGUCACGGCAAGGACAUUUCGAGCGAUCGCGUCCGCCCGGGUCACUUGGGCGAGGCGCUAAAUCUAGGUGACUGGUUUCGCCAUCGUCUGUCAGUCAACGAUGUCGGGGCGAGAGCACAAUGACUCGACUAAGCAUGUAGUCCUGACUGUGGAGCGCCUUCGGACGCGAGUUCGAUUCUCGCCACCUCCACCA
rnacentral:tmRNA from 1 species